UGGCCGGUCAGCUCAACUGGUUAGAGUGUGGUGCUAAUAAAGACAAGGUCUCGGGUUCGACCCCUGUACAUUUAA